rnacentral:siRNA from 1 species
UUGUGCAAUGAGGAUGGUUAAUA